rnacentral:rRNA from 1 species
GACGAACGCUGGCGGCGUGCUUAACACAUGCAAGUCGAACGGAAAGGCCCCUUUGGGGGUACUCGAGUGGCGAACGGGUGAGUAACACGUGAGUAACCUUCCCUUGACUUCGGGAUAACUUCAGGAAACUGGGGCUAAUACCGGAUAGGAAUCCUUUCUUCAUGGUGGGGGUUGGAAAGCUUCGGCGGUUUUGGAUGGACUCGCGGCUUAUCAGCUUGUUGGUGGGGUAGUGGCUUACCAAGGCUUUGACGGGUAGCCGGCCUGAGAGGGCGACCGGCCACAUUGGGACUGAGAUACGGCCCAGACUCCUACGGGAGGCAGCAGUGGGGAAUAUUGCACAAUGGGCGGAAGCCUGAUGCAGCAACGCCGCGUGCGGGAUGACGGCCUUAGGGUUGUAAAACGCUUUCAGCAGGGGCGAAGCUUGUGGUGACGGUACCUGCAGAAGAAGCAACGGCUAACUACGUG